UACGUAGGUGGCGAGCGUUGUCCGGAUUUACUGGGCGUAAAGGAUGCGUAGGUGGAUACUUAAGUGGGAUGUGAAAUCCCCGGGCUUAACCCGGGAACUGCAUUCCAAACUGGGUAACUUGAGUGCAGGAGAGGAAAGCGGAAUUCCUAGUGUAGCGGUGAAAUGCGUAGAUAUUAAGAAGAACACCAGUGGCGAAGGCGGCUUUCUGGACUGUAACUGACGCUGAGGCAUGAAAGCGUGGGGAGCAAACAGG
rnacentral:rRNA from 1 species